AAAUUGAAGAGUUUGAUCAUGGCUCAGAUUGAACGCUGGCGGCAGGCCUAACACAUGCAAGUCGAACGGUAACAGGAAGCAGCUUGCUGCUUCGCUGACGAGUGGCGGACGGGUGAGUAAUGUCUGGGAAACUGCCUGAUGGAGGGGGAUAACUACUGGAAACGGUAGCUAAUACCGCAUAACGUCGCAAGACCAAAGAGGGGGACCUUCGGGCCUCUUGCCAUCGGAUGUGCCCAGAUGGGAUUAGCUUGUUGGUGGGGUAACGGCUCACCAAGGCGACGAUCCCUAGCUGGUCUGAGAGGAUGACCAGCCACACUGGAACUGAGACACGGUCCAGACUCCUACGGGAGGCAGCAGUGGGGAAUAUUGCACAAUGGGCGCAAGCCUGAUGCAGCCAUGCCGCGUGUAUGAAGAAGGCCUUCGGGUUGUAAAGUACUUUCAGCGGGGAGGAAGGGAGUAAAGUUAAUACCUUUGCUCAUUGACGUUACCCGCAGAAGAAGCACCGGCUAACUCCGUGCCAGCAGCCGCGGUAAUACGGAGGGUGCAAGCGUUAAUCGGAAUUACUGGGCGUAAAGCGCACGCAGGCGGUUUGUUAAGUCAGAUGUGAAAUCCCCGGGCUCAACCUGGGAACUGCAUCUGAUACUGGCAAGCUUGAGUCUCGUAGAGGGGGUAGAAUUCCAGGUGUAGCGGUGAAAUGCGUAGAGAUCUGGAGGAAUACCGGUGGCGAAGGCGGCCCCCUGGACGAAGACUGACGCUCAGGUGCGAAAGCGUGGGGAGCAAACAGGAUUAGAUACCCUGGUAGUCCACGCCGUAAACGAUGUCGACUUGGAGGUUGUGCCCUUGAGGCGUGGCUUCCGGAGCUAACGCGUUAAGUCGACCGCCUGGGGAGUACGGCCGCAAGGUUAAAACUCAAAUGAAUUGACGGGGGCCCGCACAAGCGGUGGAGCAUGUGGUUUAAUUCGAUGCAACGCGAAGAACCUUACCUGGUCUUGACAUCCACGGAAGUUUUCAGAGAUGAGAAUGUGCCUUCGGGAACCGUGAGACAGGUGCUGCAUGGCUGUCGUCAGCUCGUGUUGUGAAAUGUUGGGUUAAGUCCCGCAACGAGCGCAACCCUUAUCCUUUGUUGCCAGCGGUCCGGCCGGGAACUCAAAGGAGACUGCCAGUGAUAAACUGGAGGAAGGUGGGGAUGACGUCAAGUCAUCAUGGCCCUUACGACCAGGGCUACACACGUGCUACAAUGGCGCAUACAAAGAGAAGCGACCUCGCGAGAGCAAGCGGACCUCAUAAAGUGCGUCGUAGUCCGGAUUGGAGUCUGCAACUCGACUCCAUGAAGUCGGAAUCGCUAGUAAUCGUGGAUCAGAAUGCCACGGUGAAUACGUUCCCGGGCCUUGUACACACCGCCCGUCACACCAUGGGAGUGGGUUGCAAAAGAAGUAGGUAGCUUAACCUUCGGGAGGGCGCUUACCACUUUGUGAUUCAUGACUGGGGUGAAGUCGUAACAAGGUAACCGUAGGGGAACCUGCGGUUGGAUCACCUCCUUA
rnacentral:rRNA from 1 species